rnacentral:lncRNA from 1 species
CAUGAGGACUUCACAUCAUCUGCUAGAUGCUUUCUCAGUGAAUUGUUUUACCAUGUACAGUGUGACUGACAUUUUUCAGGGUUGAAACUUCUUUUAAAGCUUCAGUUGAAGCUUCUUUUAAAGCUUAUUCAUCACUUCUGAUUCUGCAGGCUAUUUUUAUGGAGAAUGAGAAUUAUGCCUUCCUUAGCACAGUUUCACAUUGGUGCUUUUUCAGGGAAUCCAUUUAUUUUUUGAGUUCCUUGGGAUGCAGAGCAGAUCUGGGAAAACACGACAUUGCAUCUUUGCCAUUUAAGGAGGUCUUGGUGAACCUUCUGCAUAGGCUGGGAAAGAAACCUGAAGUCGUGAGUCUGGUGGAGCACUGCGUGUUUCCAAACGCUCUGCUCUGAGUUCAUCCCACCAGUAAGGCUGUGCAGCGUGAGAACUGCUGUUGCAAAACUACCAGAUUCAACCUCCUGGGGAGCCUUUCUGGCCAAGGUUUUACAAGCCAGCACCUGCUUUGCCUGCCUGACUUCUUUCUAUAUUUAUUCCUCUGCACCCGGUUUUUGCCUUUGCCUGUGGAACUGUCACAAACAUUUGUGCUGGCUUUUGACUGCACAGGACUUCAGCUUGCAAGUCCUAAAUCUGCCUUUGUGCAUGGUGGAGGAGCAGGCGUUUUUGUGCAUGGUUGUGCCAUCUGUGUGUCUGAGCAUCCCUGGUCCUUGCUGUCUGCAUUAUGUGGCCUGUGUCCCUGUGAUUCUGCAGCAGUCCCUCUGUUCUCUGUCCCUUCAAGACGUUUUUAUGAAUCAAAUAGUCUCAGUCAUCCUACUUAUGUAAUUUGUAAUUUUUCAUUUAACUGUGCCACCCCUGACCCAGUGGCUGCUUUAAGGCAAAGGCAAUGUGAGCAACCCUCACUCCCCUGGGUUUUGUGUCCCUGUCCCUGCCAUGUGUGCCACUGCAGGCUGCAUUCCUCUCCUGUUCUGUAA